rnacentral:rRNA from 1 species
CAAACGACUCUCGGCAACGGAUAUCUCGGCUCACGCAUCGAUGAAGAACGUAGCAAAAUGCGAUACUUGGUGUGAAUUGCAGAAUCCCGUGAACCAUCGAGUUUUUGAACGCAAGUUGGGCCCGAAGCCAUUCGGCUGAGGGCACGUCUGCCUGGGCGUCACGC